CUUUUUUUCCACCGAUCCGUUUUCCUCUCCUCUCUGAAAGGCAGUACAGAAUCCAGAUUUGAAAAGGAGUUGUUACGGAGUUGUUCAAUUAGUGAAUCAUGGAAUACCAGAAACUGUGUUGACGGGAUUAUUGAUGGUGUAUAAAUAUUUCAUGAGCAAGAUACGGACUAAAGGAUAUAUUUGCCACUCUUGCAGAAGUGGAACUUGAAUCCCAACCAGUUCUUCUCAAUGGAGCCCAGUAACAGUAUGAACUAUUACUGCAAACAUAGAUUGUGGUUUAAUUCAUGGACCGAGAACGACAUUGAACAGUUCUUUGUUAUUGGAACAUCAGAAUAUCUUGCUACCAACAAAAGAUGGAUUCAACUUGAUCGAACAACAAAAGCUGCAUUCUAUUCGAUCAAGAUGUGUUGGCUUCUUCACAGUUUCUUUAAUGGCAAGCUCAUGUUGCAGCUAGGUGAGACCGUAAUGUUCAUUGCUGAGGCUAUUACAGCUAAGCUUCUUUUCAGGGCUUUGAUCAUAGAUGACUCCAAAGCUAAGCUUGCUCUUGGCCAGCAUAACAGCACAAUGAGCUAAGCCAUCCUUGGUCUUACUGCUUCUCAUUGUUCAUUGCUUUAUCAAUAUUACCAUGAUGAAUGAUUUAUCAAUUCUGUUUACUGCAGAUGACUCCAAAGUUAAGACUGCUCUUGGCCAGAAGAAUAGAGCAAUGAGCUAUCAGUGGUCAGGUGCAAUUAAUAUCACUUAUCAGAAACAAAUUGCUCUUGACCUGAAAAUUAUUAGAAGAACUUUCCGAGGGUGUAACUCAUAACGAAACAAGGAGUACACCAUGAUCAGAUGCUAAGUUGUAUAUAACAAAUUUGGUGGAUUGGAAAUUUGUUACUAGUGUUAUCACAGUUGGUAGCUUUGGCAGACUGUCUACUGCAACAGUUGCAGUGAAUAUCAAUGCUUGGUCCUGUUUCGUAUGUAUGCUUCCAUUAUCGACUUCAUGUGUUGCUGAUUCUUAUCUUGGCAGAUGUUAUACCAUCUUAUUUUCCUCACUCAUCUAUGUAUUGAGGAUGCUCACUAUUAGGUUUCAAUUAGAUGUAAAUUAGGGCUUCAGCAAUUACUGCAGUCUAUUGUUGUGUUUUGGCAGGUGGCUUCUCCUUAGGAGACACCGGAGACCAUCCUCUGCCAAAAACAAAUUACAUCUUCAGCAAUGCAACUGAACUGAACAUUACAAGCGAACAUACAUAGGUAUGGGGUCAUGAAUGGGAGGAAGUUGAGAAGCAGUUGUAAGACAACUCAUAUUGUUUUCUAUUCAGUUGAUGUGAGCCAUAUGUAGGACAAAUCAUGUGGUUAAGCAAUAUCUUUUUCUGAAAUCCGUAGGACCAGAUGUUUAAUGGUAAGAUUACUUUGCCUCUAGCUUUUCCAUUCUAACCUUUUUUUCUAGGCACACGCUUAGUGUACUAUCAGUGUGCAAAAUUUCUCAGCUCAGUUAUGGUUAAAAACUUAUGUUAGACAACAUGUAUCCUCUUUAUUUCACAUAUUUCUCUUCUACUUGUAAUGGUCAUAUUUUCAAUUCUUUCAUAUUGUAGCCUUAUAAUUUGGGUUUGUAUGGCUUCCUGUGAA